UUACUUACCUGGACGGGGUAAAUGGACGGUCAUGAAGGUCCAUUGCCUGGAUUGGUGCCCUCCAUUGCACGCGAAGGAGGGGUGCCCGUCCAAGGUCUGCCCGUAGUGGCAGAGCCUACGUCAUAAUUUGUGGUAGUGGGGGCCUGCGUUCGCGCGGCCCCUUC